AACCUACCAACUGUAGAGCUUACCCAUGGGGUUACAUUAAUCAGAGAUACCUGUCAUUUACCUGUUACUCUGAUCCGUCUGAGAGCACUUUGAACCUGUGAUCCUAAACAUGUCACUACAUUCAUACAUAUAUCAUUGCAUUUGCAUUCAUCAUCAUACAUUUCAUAUCAUUUUUCACCCAAAAAUAAAUACAAAAAAACU
rnacentral:lncRNA from 1 species